rnacentral:misc_RNA from 1 species
GGGGAUCCUCUCAAUUUACAGACAUUUUCUUUCUGAACUCACUUCCUGAAAAAAGAGGGGGAGUCAAAAGCAUGAGCCCAUCAGGACUCCACAAAUUCCGACCAAUUACAAAUGCAACUAUGAGGAGAGGGCGUUGCUGAAGAGUAACUAACAUGAGUGCCAAGCAACGGCUUCUUCAUUAAAGCCACCACAACAAAGCCCUAAAAGGCAGGGUGAAGGUGGCUGUAUCAGCAGCCGAGUAAGAACCUAAAUACAUCAGUCACUGAAAUAAUGCCUUCCACACGCUUGCUGCCAGCCUCCACAAUGACAAGUCUCCUUGCUCCAGGAACAGCAAGUCGCUCCAUUACUUUAUGCAAAGGAUCGGACCUUAGACACAUUUGACACCUCUGUCCAUUGAAUAAUCCAUGAGGAGAACUUGCAUCUUGUCCCAAUUGUAUUGCCUGAUGAAUACUCAAUUCAUCAAGCCGAAUCUGUGCGUACGCUCUGUCCUUUGCCAAAGCAGUAAUGUCACUUCUACAGUAGAUAUCCAGCAAGGAGUCAUUAUCAUCCACAAUUGGUAUCGCACUAACUUCAGCUUGAACUAAUAAGGAUAGAGCAGCACCAAGAGAAGCAUUUGGUCUUAGCAUUGCGACUGGUUUUCCACUUGAUUCACCAAUUUUCGGGACCCAGGUACCAAUAGGAAUUGAGCAAAUUGGUUGCUGAAGAAUUGGCAAGGAACUAGAAG